rnacentral:tRNA from 1 species
UGCAGGAGUGUCGGAACUGGCAGACGAGCAAGACUAAGGAUCUUGUGAUCAAUGCGAUCGUGUGGGUUCAAGUCCCAUCUCCUGCAU